rnacentral:tRNA from 1 species
GGAUUGGUGGUUCAGUGGUAGAAUUCUCACCUUCCAAGUGAGAGACCAGGGUUCAAUUUCCAACCAACGCC